CAUCAGGAGGUGGGGGCACCCUGCUCCGCAAUGCCGCGUGAGUUGAAGAAGGCCUUCGGGUUGUAAAGCUCUUUUGUCAGGGAAGAAACAGCAGCUCUAACACAGCUGUGAAUGACGGUACCUGAAGAAUAAGCACCGGCUAACUACGCGCCAGCAGCCGCGGUAAUACGCAGGGUGCAAGCGUUAAUCGGAAUCACUGGGCGUAAAGCGUGCGCAGGCGGUUAUACAAGACAGGCGUGAAAUCCCCGGGCUUAACCUGGGAAUUGCGUCUGUGACUGUAUGGCUAGAGUGUGUCAGAGGGGGGUAGAAUUCCACGUGUAGCAGUGAAAUGCGUAGAUAUGUGGAGGAAUACCAAUGGCGAAGGCAGCCCCCUGGGAUAACACUGACGCUCAUGCACGAAA
rnacentral:rRNA from 1 species